rnacentral:tRNA from 3 species
GGGCGUUUGGCACAGUGGUAGCGCGCACGCUUUGCAUGCGUGAGGUCCAGGGUUCAAGCCCCUGAACGUCCA